rnacentral:lncRNA from 10 species
AAACAGCUUCUCACCUAUUUCCUAAGUCAGUCCACAGACACAGAGCCCCCCGACUGAAGGAGAAACUGGGUCCAUUUGUGGAAGGCUGCACCAUAUGAUCAUCUCUGAGGGAAACCAGCUGCCAUGUUGUGAAGACACUCAAGCAAGCCAUGUGUGUGAACUACCAUGUUGAAAAUGGACCCUCCAAAUCCAAUCAAGCCUUCAAGAGAUUAUUGAUGUCAUGGCCAACAUCCUGACUACAACCUCAUGAAAAAACCUCAGCAAAUGCUUCCUAACCAAGCUUCUUCUGAACUCCAGACCUAUAGAAAAUGUGUGAGAUAAUUGUUCUUCAGCCCAGUCAAGACCCUAAGAAGAUGGGGGUGGAAUUCUGCCUCCUCUACACAAAUUCUUGCCACGACUUAGUGACACCUUUAAUGAACCGAGCACUGGGUUAAAGUUUUCUCUAAUUCUUAAAUAACUCUGCUAGGUAAGUUGCCAUUAUUAUGAUCAAACCAUACUGAAUGUUUGAGUACCUUGACUAAGAAAUAAAACUGGGUUUUUGACAAAGGUCUAUUUAAUACCAAUGGCCAAGUUCUUUCCACCAUGACUCCACGGUUCCUAGUUUCAUAUACUUACAUUAAUCUCAGAUAAGACAAGAGUAACCGUUUAUAACACUCUUCAUUCAAAGAAAAUUCUUAGUUAUCACAAAUUAAAUUUUAAUUGUUUGAAAAUUAAUAAUUCCUUCUUAUGAAUAGUUUAUAUCUCAACCACAUUGAGGAAGUACUUUAUUUGACACCUUCCUUCCAUAUUUCCCCUCCAGGCAGAAUAAACUCUUUCACAGUGUAGCCCUUAGUAAUUAAAAAUGGCUUUCUCUUCCUAAUGGAUUAUAAAAUAUUGAGGCAGUAAUUUGAGCUUAGUCAUUGUUUGUACACAUUUUUCUAUUACAAAGUGAUACAAUCAUACCAAUUUUGAAAUAGAUCAAAAAAAUUAAAAUCCUAACCUAUUUACUCACUUAUUUUCCCAAAACUUAUUAUAUAUGAUAUUAACGAAUAUUACAUAGGAUGCAUGAGAUCUAAGUACAAAUUAACUUGGAAAAAUAUGGGUUAAAUGAAUUUUAGCAGAAUUAUUUCCUGUAGAAUCUUUACUGUUUUGGUUUGUAUUGUAACUUCAAAAUUGAAGAUUAUGUGCAGUUUUUCUAAUCUAUUUGACCACUGAACUCUUUUAUCAUAAAGCUUCUGGAUUAGUGUUCCAUGAAACUUUAGGAAUGAGUUCAAUAUUCUAUUAUAUAUUGGGGCUCUUCUCACUUUUGUAAAUAAGUCCAGGAUAAAUAUCCUUAGGCAUUUACAUUGUGUUUCAUAUGUUUUGGGAAAUUCUAGGGUAAAUACCCAAAGCCUCAAAGAUAUUGUUUCAAAGAUUAUUAGCAACUUAAGUUUUUCAUCUAUAUUUUUAAAUGGCUUUCAAAAUGAUUAUAACCGCUUUUAGAAUACAAUCAAGUCAUGGGAAUGUCAGUUUUAUUGAACUAUUAUCAGCAUUAGGUAGUGCAUUUUUUCCUUAAUUUUGCUAGUGAAACAAGUGGAAAAUGAUAACUCAUAGCUAUGACAAUUUUUAUUUUUGAUUAGGAGGUAGAACACUUCUCUGUAUGUUUUAUUAGAAUUUCCUCUUUAUGCAACUUAUACUACCGAACUUUACACAUGCAUGAAUGGU